CUAUCAAUGAAUAGUUAGCAAUGUUUAAGCGCUCACAAACCCAUUGUUUGGAUAUUUGAGAGCACUUUAGUCAAUAUUGGUCAAUAGGGACCUAUACGUUACACAGUAAAAUGUAAACAUGUCAUUAUCGGUUUGGAACACAGAAAGUUAAUGAUAUGUCACCAUCACCACUGCCAUAUAAAAGGGAUAACAGAGGCAAGUCAGGUUAAUUGUAUUUGUUGUUGACCUAAUGAUCUAAGGGUACUGAUUUCAAAAUCAU